rnacentral:tRNA from 7 species
GCGUUCGUAGCUCAACUGGAUAGAGCGACAGACUUCGGAUCUGUAGGUUAUGGGUUCAAUUCCUAUCGGGCGCACCA